GAUGAACGCUGGCGGCGUGCCUAAUACAUGCAAGUCGAACGAGAGGAAGGAAAGCUUGCUUUUCUGAAUCUAGUGGCGAACGGGUGAGUAACACGUAGGUAACCUGCCCAUGUGCCCGGGAUAACUUCUGGAAACGGAUGCUAAAACCGGAUAGGUAGCAGACAAGCAUUUGACUGCUAUUAAAGUGGCUAAGGCCAUGAACAUGGAUGGACCUGCGGUGCAUUAGCUAGUUGGUGAGGUAACGGCCCACCAAGGCGACGAUGCAUAGCCGGCCUUGGAGGGCGGACGGCCACAUUAGGACUGAGACACGGCCCAAACUCCUACGGGAGGCAGCAGUAGGGAAUUUUCGUCAAUGGGGGGAACCCUGAACGAGCAAUGCCGCGUGAGUGAGGAAGGUCUUCGGAUCGUAAAGCUCUGUUGUAAGAGAAAAACGACAUUCAUAGGGAAUGAUGAGUGAGUGAUGGUAUCUUACCAGAAAGUCACGGCUAACUACGUGCCAGCCGCCGCGGUAA
rnacentral:rRNA from 1 species